UACGAAGGGGGCUAGCGUUGUUCGGAAUUACUGGGCGUAAAGCGCGUGUAGGCGGGUCUUUAAGUCAGGGGUGAAAUGCCAAGGCUCAACCUUGGAACUGCCUUUGAUACUGGGGAUCUUGAGUCCGGGAGAGAUGAGUGGAACUGCGAGUGUAGAGGUGAAAUUCGUAGAUAUUCGCAAGAACACCAGUGGCGAAGGCGGCUCACUGGCCCGGUACUGACGCUGAGAUGCGAAAGCGUGGGGAGCAAACAGG
rnacentral:rRNA from 1 species